rnacentral:rRNA from 1 species
GACGAACGCUGGCGGCGUGCCUAAUACAUGCAAGUAGAACGCACAGUUUAUACCGUAGCUUGCUACACCAUAAACUGUGAGUUGCGAACGGGUGAGUAACGCGUAGGUAACCUGCCUGGUAGCGGGGGAUAACUAUUGGAAACGAUAGCUAAUACCGCAUAAUAUUGAUUAUUGCAUGAUAAUUGAUUGAAAGAUGCUAUUGCAUCACUACCAGAUGGACCUGCGUUGUAUUAGCUAGUAGGUGAGGUAACGGCUCACCUAGGCGACGAUACAUAGCCGACCUGAGAGGGUGAUCGGCCACACUGGGACUGAGACACGGCCCAGACUCCUACGGGAGGCAGCAGUAGGGAAUCUUCGGCAAUGGACGAAAGUCUGACCGAGCAACGCCGCGUGAGUGAAGAAGGUUUUCGGAUCGUAAAGCUCUGUUGUAAGAGAAGAACGGGCGUGAGAGUGGAAAGUUCACACUGUGACGGUAUCUUACCAGAAAGAGACGGCUAACUACGUG